CUGCAGCUGAGGGUGUGCUCAGUCUUUGGGGAAGCAGCCCAGAGGGAGCCCUUCUUUGCAGUCCUGGAUUUUCUCCUGCUGCAACAAAGGAAAGAAGGUGAUCUGCGGUGGAGAGGCAGCCCCCAGAAAUGGCUCUCUCUGCCCCCUCUUGCGAUCCGAACUUCGUGAGUGGAGAGGUUACGGUGCGUCUCUUGAGGAAAUGGUUGCGCAAGCCCGGCUUGGAGGGUCCCUUGAGCUUUGUCCGUUGAGGACCAGCUGGAGCCAGAGUGCCCAGGACUCCAUUGACAAGACGCCACCGAGGGAGACAAGAAAGAGCAUCUCUGAACAUCUGGCAGGGCUGUCCUUGUGUUCUCGAGCAGCCCGGAACCCGCGACCAGCCUAGAACCCGCAGCCACAGGCAUCUGGUGUGCCACGGUCCCCAUCUUAGGCUUCUGAGGCAAUUCCUGCCAGCAUUCUGAUGGGCAGAAGAUGGAAAAGAUUAGAGAACAGGAAAUCGCGUUAUCAAGAGAACCAGUUUCAUGCCAGGAAAAGAAAAAGGAAAAGAAAAAGAAAAAAAAACCAAACCAAACCAAAACAAGCAAAAAGAAAGGAAACCUUCUCAAAACAAAUACACCCAAGAGUAAAA